rnacentral:rRNA from 1 species
UACAGAGGGUGCGAGCGUUGUUCGGAAUUACUGGGCGUAAAGCGCGCGCAGGCGGCUUUUUAAGUCCACUGGUCAAAUGCCGGGGCUCAACCCCGUGCCCGCCAGGGAUACUGGAGAGCUGGAGACACGUAGAGGCAAGCGGAAUUCCGGGUGUAGCGGUGGAAUGCGUAGAGAUCCGGAAGAACACCGGAGGCGAAGGCGGCUUGCUGGGCGUAGUCUGACGCUGAGGCGCGAAAGCGUGGGGAGCGAACAGG